rnacentral:rRNA from 1 species
AACGCGAAGAACCUUACCUGGGCUCGAACGGCUGGUUAACGCCGGUGGAAACAUCGGUACUCCGCAAGGAGGUCCAGUCGAGGUGCUGCAUGGCUGUCGUCAGCUCGUGUCGUGAGAUGUUGGGUUAAGUCCCGCAACGAGCGCAACCCUUGUCCUGUGUUGCCAUCAUUCAGUUGGGAACUCGCAGGAGACCGCCAGGGAUAACCUGGAGGAAGGUGGGGAUGACGUCAAGUCCUCAUGGCCUUUAUGUCCAGGGCUACACACGUGCUACAAUGGCCGGUAUAAACCGCUGCAAACCCGCGAGGGGGAGCUAAUCGGAAAAAGCCGGCCUCAGUUCGGAUCGCAGUCUGCAACUCGACUGCGUGAAGCUGGAAUCGCUAGUAAUCGCAGAUCAGAAUGCUGCGGUGAAUACGUUCCCGGGCCUUGUACACACCGAGACGAC